CUACGGGCCGCUCCAGUGGGGGAUAUUGCACAAUGGAGGAAACUCUGAUGCAGCAACGCCGCGUGAAGGAAGAAGGUUUUCGGAUUGUAAACUUCUAUCAGCAGGGAAGAAAAUGACUGUACCUGACUAAGAAGCCCCGGCUAACUACGUGCCAGCAGCCGCGGUAAUACGUAGGGGGCAAGCGUUAUCCGGAAUUACUGGGUGUAAAGGGUACGUAGGCGGUUCAUUAAGUCAGAUGUGAAAGCCCGAGGCUCAACCUCGGGACUGCAUUUGAAACUGGUGAACUAGAGUACAGGAGAGGUAAGUGGAAUUCCUAGUGUAGCGGUGAAAUGCGUAGAUAUUAGGAAGAACACCAGUGGCGAAGGCGGCUUACUGGACUGUAACUGACGCUGAGGUACGAAAGCGUGGGGAGCGAACAGGAUUAGAUACCCGGGUAGUC
rnacentral:rRNA from 1 species